GAUCAUGGCUCGGGAUGAACGCUGGCGGCGUGCUUAACACAUGCAAGUUGAACGAAGCACUUAAGAUUGACUCUUCGGAUGAUUUCUUUUGUGACUUAGUGGCGGACGGGUGAGUAACGCGUGGGUAACCUGCCUCACACAGGGGGAUAACAGUUAGAAAUGACUGCUAAUACCGCAUAACCCGAUAGGAUCGCAUGAUCCAGACGGAAAAGAUUUAUCGGUGUGAGAUGGACCCGCG
rnacentral:rRNA from 1 species